GACGAACGCUGGCGGCGUGCUUAACACAUGCAAGUCGAACGGAAAGGCGCUGUUUUUGUGGGGUGCUCGAGUGGCGAACGGGUGAGUAACACGUGAGUAACCUGCCCUUGACUUUGGGAUGACUUCAGGACACUGGUGACAAUACCGGAUAGGAGCCUCUGCUGCAUGGUGGGGGUUGGAAAGUUGCGGUGGGUGGGGAUGGACUCGCGGGUUAUGAGCUUGUUGGUGGGGGAGUGGCUUACCAAGGCAUUGCCGGGUAGGCGGCCUGAGAGGGUGACCGGCCACAAUGGGACUGCGAGAGGGCGCAGAGUGCUACGGGAGACAGCAGGGGGAAACAUUGCACAGUGGGCGGAAGCGUGAUACAGAAGCGUCGCGGUUGGAAAGACGUCCUGGGUGUGGAAAACUCGCACCGCCUGUGACGGAGUGUGGGUGACGGUAAUGGGUAAAGAAGCACCGGCUAACUACGUG
rnacentral:rRNA from 1 species